rnacentral:miRNA from 1 species
UGGACGGAAGCCUGAUAAGGGA